rnacentral:rRNA from 1 species
UAAAAAUAUAAUAAUAUUAAAAAUAAUUAUAAAUUUUAAAGUUUUAGUAUUUUAUAAAGAAAAAAUAAUUUUAAUAAUAGUUUAUUAGUAUUGUAAAAUAAAAUUGAAAUAUAAUGAAAAAUUUUUAUUAUAAAAGAAAAUUUAAUUUAUUGUAUCUUGUGUAUCAGAGUAUAUUAAAUAAAAAAUAUAAAUAUAUUUUUCUCGAUUUCAAAAGAUUUAAUAAAUUAUAAAUGUUAAUGUGACAAAAUUAUAUUAAAUAAUUUAUUAGAAAUGAAAUGUUAUUCGUUUUUGAAGGUAUCUAGUUUUUUAAGAAAUAAAUUUAAUUUAGUUUUUAAAAUUUACUUGUUUAUUUAAUUAAUUAAGUAAUUUUUAAAAAAUAAUAUUUUAUGGGAUAAGCUAUAAAAUAAAUUUUUAUAAAUAAUAAAUAAUAUUUUAAAUUAUAUAUGUUUAAAAGUAUCAAUUUUUAUUAAGUUUGUUAUAAAUUAAUUUUUUUAAUAAAUUAUUUAUUAUAUUUUAAAUUUUUAUUAAAAUAUUUAUUUUAAUAUUAAAAAUAAAGAAAUAAUGAUAUAAUUAGUAUAUUAAUUUUGUAGAUUUAUAUUUUGAAAUGAAAAGUUUAUGUAAAGAAUUCGGCAAAAAUAAUGUUCGCCUGUUUAACAAAAACAUGUCUUUUAGAAAUUAAUUUAAAGUCUAACCUGCCCACUGAAUUUUUUUUAAAUGGCCGCAGUAUAUUAACUGUGCAAAGGUAGCAUAAUCAUUAGUCUUUUAAUUGAAGGCUGGAAUGAAUGGUUGGACGAAAUAUUAACUGUUUCAUUUGAAUUUAUAAUAGAAUUUUAUUUUUUAGUCAAAAAGCUAAAAUAUAUUUAAAAGACGAGAAGACCCUAUGAAUCUUUAUAUAUUGUAUAUUUUAAUUUUGUAGAUUAAUUUAAUUAUAAUAUUAUUAAUAUAUUUUAUUGGGGUGAUAUUAAAAUUUAAAAAACUUUUAAACUUUAAAUCAUUGAUUUAUGAAUAAAUGAUCCAUUUUUAAUGAUUAGAAAUUUAAGUUACUCUAGGGAUAACAGCGUAAUUUUUUUGGAGAGUUCAUAUCGAUAAAAAAGAUUGCGACCUCGAUGUUGGAUUAAGAUAUAAUUUUAGGUGUAGCCGUUUAAAUUUAAAGUCUGUUCGACUUUUAAAAUCUUACAUGAUCUGAGUUCAAACCGGCGUGAGCCAGGUUGGUUUCUAUCUUUAAUAAAUUAAUAUAUUUUAGUACGAAAGGAUUAAAUAUAUAAAUAAUUUUAUUUUAUAGAUAAGA